AGUGAACGCUGGCGGUAGGCCUAACACAUGCAAGUCGAACGGCAGCACAGUAAGAGCUUGCUCUUACGGGUGGCGAGUGGCGGACGGGUGAGGAAUACAUCGGAAUCUACUUUUUCGUGGGGGAUAACGUAGGGAAACUUACUCUAAUACCGCAUACGACCUACGGGUGAAAGCAGGGGAUCUUCGGACCUUGCGCGAUUGAAUGAGCCGAUGUCGGAUUAGCUAGUUGGCGGGGUAAAGGCCCACCAAGGCGACGAUCCGUAGCUGGUCUGAGAGGAUGAUCGGCCACACUGGAACUGAGACACGGUCCAGACUCCUACGGGAGGCAGCAGUGGGGAAUAUUGGGCAAUGGGCGCAAGCCUGAUCCAGCCAUACCGCGUGGGUGAAGAAGGCCUUCGGGUUGUAAAGCCCCUUUGUUGGGAAAGAAAAGCAGCAGGUUAAUACCCCGCUGUUCUGACGGUACCCAAAGAAUAAGCACCGGCUAACUUCGUG
rnacentral:rRNA from 1 species